GAAGCAAGCCAGACCGCCGCUGGUGCAAUUCCGCAAGGACGGGGCGCAAGCCCCCGGGUCGAAAGGCCGCACUGGAGGAAGGUCCGGACUGCACAGGGCAGCGUAGGAGGUAACACCUCUCCGCCGUGAGGCGAGGAUCAGAGCAACAGAGACGAGCCGAUUCAGUUCGGGUGAAACGGGCAAUCUCUACGCGCAGCAACACCAAAUAGGCACACAUUGACCUGGCCCGGGGAGUGUGCGGGUAGGUGGCAUCGAGCCGUUCUGGUGACAGGCGGCCCAGAGGAAUGGCGGUCACGCCGGGCAUCCUUCGGGAUUCCCCGGUGCACAGAAUCCGGCCUACCGGCUUGCUUCACAC
rnacentral:RNase_P_RNA from 1 species